GCGGGGGCGGGGACGCCGGGCGGGGGUGGUGCGGCCGGGAGCGCGGGGAGCCGAGCGGCGGGCACCGGGGCCGGCAUGGCGUGGCCCUGCAUCAGCCGCUUAUGCUGCCUGGCGCGGCGCUGGAACCAGCUGGACCGCUCCGACGUGGCAGUGCCGCUCACCCUGCACAGCUACUCGGACCUCGAGAGCGAGGAGCCCGGUGCAGGCGGCGCCGCUUCCCGCAGGGGCCCGUCUCCUGCAGGCACCCGGGACCCAGGCCGGGACGUGCCGCUCACUCAGUACCAGCGGGACUUCGGCGUGUGGACUGCCCCCACGGGGCCCAGGGAUGCUCGGCAGGGGCGUGGGUCGGGUGUGGGCGGCCGCAGGAACAAGCCCCCCACGGCCCCUGGCCGUGGUGUCUACGUGCUCCCCAACGGCGACGCGGACUCGGCUGUGGUGACCACGUCGUACAGACAGGAGUUCCAGGCCUGGACCGGAGUGAAGCCACCAAGAUCCACAAAGGCAAGACCCACCACAGUCAUCACAACCCACAGCUCCAGAUGGGACAGCAGCCCCGGGGGUGGCUUCCAGGCCCCUGAGGGGAAGAAGAAGUUCACCCCUAACCCAUCAGCCAUCUUUCAGGCUUCAGCUCCCCGGAUCCUCAAUGUGUAACUGGCCACACUGGCGCCAAGAUGGGGCUGUCUUCGGCCACUCAGGGACUGGUUGACGACUAGAAGGAACACCAUACAUACUGGCAAAGAACUGGGAGCAUUUUUUGGGACGAACUGGCAUUAGCCUCAUUCUCUGAAAGACUUUAACAUGUUAUCUACACCUAGAUGACUCCCACCCUGCUCUCUCACUUACAGUUGGGGGAGCUCACUGUGAGGAGGCAGCUGUCGGCUUUGGAAAGCUGCCUCCUUUGCCGCCAUUCUGCUAGCAGAUGGUCACAGCAGGACUGUGUCCCCGGAUUAACUUCUUCCAGACCUCAGCAGAGACCAGUUCCAGCUUUCCAGACAGACCAGUGUGCUUCUUCCUUAGACAACAGGAACGGUUUCCCUCCUUGCCUUGGCUUUGAGGAGGUGCCGAGGUCCAUUAGGUAGUUUUCCUUUGCCCCAAGCUGUCAGAAAUCCUUAACUUCUGGGUCAGUGUGCAUCUUCUAAAUUUUUUUUCCAGACUUUUAUGUAACUGUAAUCCUUUAUCUUGUAUAGCUGCAAAUUCUUGGAAAGAAGUGGCAGGAUUAAUGUAAACACAAAUACCUAUACCUCUGCCCGAUCCCAGCUCCUUCAGACCUCAUGGAAGAACCACCUACCAAAGUGUAGUGCUUCGAACUCAGAAAAACCCAACACAAAUACUAAAAGAUUUAUUGUAGAUUUUGUUACACAAUUAUGUUACAUGUUAUGAUACAAAUACAUCUGAAACAUUAACACAUAUGGGAACUUUUAAAUGAUUUAAUAUUCUUUUGCAAAAAGAUAAUUACUUCAGGCUUUCAUACCUGUAAUAAAUCGAUCUGUUCUCAUUGGGAUCAAAUCCUCCAUCCUGUAGAACUGUCACAGUCCACUGCUGAAUAAAUUUAUCCACCUGUCCACUGGCCUUGCUUACAGAGGUUAAUGUAUAGAGUAUCUGAGCCUUUAUGCACUAAACUUUUUUACUGAGCCCGGGCAUGCCUGAUGCCUUAUUGAACAGGUUUCCUUGUGCACCUGCAAUCCUCGGAGGCUGAAUAGAGAAGGGCAGAUCUCUUGGUCACUGCCUUCUGUUCCUGACCCAAACGUCUACACAACUCAUGGAAACUUCAGUUAUGUUGUUCACUGGGUAAGUUUGAUUCACAAACUUCAAAUUUCCUUUGAGCAGAUUGCUCACAGAAUAAAUUCUCUCCUUUCCUUCGACACAGACUAUGUUAGGACAGAGUAUCUGUAAUGCAACUGAGUAUCACACAGGCCCUGUGGACCCUCCUCCUCCUGUUCACUUCUCCUGCCAAGAGGGCUCUGCAUCUGGGCACAAUCUAUUCUCACUGCUUCUGAGCACUGACAUUCCUAUCUCGUGGCUUCGGCAGUCAUUUCUCUCUCUUUAAGGCACUCACAGUGUUUCCUUGAAACGCUUUUCUUUGGAAAAGCCAAGUGGAAAAGAACAGGGCACUAAGUCCACUGACAGGACUCACCAUCCCAGCAGGCCUGGCCCAGGGGCUGCUCCCCACUGGUCCCUCACCAUGGGGUGACCUGCAUACCCCGUGAAUGCUGUGGAACCAGCUCUGCCUGACACACACAAAGCUGAUCCAGGUCGGCCAGGUGCCUGGGAUUUGCGGGUGUUCUCUAUUACUGACCUAUGGAGAGCUGCUUGGUUAUAGUCGGACCUUUCCCGGACGGACGUUUGCUGGGAUCUGCCUACCCCUUGACGGUGCUGACCUUGGCUGCAGUAAUGUCCCUGUGCUCCAUGGAAACACUUCUGCACAGCGUGUGGGCUCCCAGGUUCUGCUGACUUAUGCAAGGCGUUACUGCCCUCUAAAGCUGAUGGGGUCCCCCACGCCACAGCCACUGGAUGAGGGCAGAAGCCCCGCCUGGCUCCAGAGGUUACCAGGGUAACUGCAGGAGCUGCCUGUAGCCCCAGAAUAGGUGGACCACCAGUGUGGCCCAAGGUACCCCUUGACACCCAGAGAAGGACCUGCUGCACGUGGCCUGGCCCAGCUUGGAGACUCUGUCCCAAAGCUUUUCCAGAGAGCGAGCAAAUGCAAGCUGACAGAGCACACAUCCCCUCACAGCUUCAUUCUAGACUCAGAAACUUCUGUCCUAAAGAGAUCUGAUCUGGGACCGAAUACUCUGGUGUUACAGUGAUUUAAGUGGAGGCAAUGGUUUGGUAGCCAUAAUAUUUCGAGGCACACAGACAAUCACCUCCUUCCCCAAAGAGAAGAGUCGUCGCAGUUCGAAGCUUCGGAUACAUCUGCAAAUCCUGCUUUUCUAAGGGCAUCUUCAUUCCAUUCACUGGUCUUCAUUCAAUAUCCCCAUGUGUUUAUUUGUGAGAAAGUCCAGAAAAGGAAUGUUACAAAUGGCCUGGUGAAUGUUACUCACUGUAAUUUCUUUGGGAAUCCUGUCCAAAAACAAAGCAUGUUAGGUGCAAUUUUCUAAAGUAUUUAAUAAUUUAAUCAAUUUAUCAAAAGGGCUUCCACCCAUCCCCACCCUCCCAGAAGGGAGACAGAGCUGAGGCACGAUUUAGGGCCUUCUGGCACGGGGGAGGCCAGGUCCAUGUUCUUGCUCGCUCUCCUUUCCCAUUGAUUUCUUUAGUUUUAGUAAAGACUGGCCUGCCCUCUUCACAGCCAGCCCAAUCUGGGGCUCAAAUCAGACUUCCCAGUCCCAGGCAUUGGUUGAACAAUGAAGAAAAAAGCCUCUGAGGAUUGAGAAAAGAGGAAGAAAGGAAAGGACAGCAAAACAGUACAAUGAUUUCGCCGUUCUGUCUGAGCCCACUGAGCUGACUCAAAGGGCUGCUGAACUGCGGGACCAUGGUUCUGUCUGUCAGGGGGCAGGGGAUACGGAGCCGAGCCAGGCCAGGGGGAUAAAUGUUCCUGUCAACAGCGUCCCAGCCACCCUAGCUCCACAACUGGGAUGACGGAGGCGAGCAGAGCCACAGAAAGCACUCAGCCCACACUCUUGGGCUUCACACACGACAAAGAACAUUCCCAAACUCCUGUUUCUCCUUCCUUCUUUCUUAAAGAGGUCUUCUGCACUGCCCCAUGUAUUCUGAUCCUGUGAAGUCUGACCUAAUAGUCCUCUGAUGUAGGCCUCUUUAUGUCCUCCGAUGAUUUGAUACAGUUUUACAAAUUUAGGACAGGCUUGAAGGAUACUGGAAUAAAAUACUUGUUUCCCUGGAAAGGAAUGCCAGGAUGUGGAAAAACAAAAGGGCUGUCUGCCAUGCCCUAGGGCCUAGGAAAAAGGCAAAACUCCGUGUCCCGACCAAUGAUGAUAAGGGGGCAGCAAAGCAGUGGUGAGCGGGUGAGCAUUAGGGCAAUGAGGCCCACCGUGUAAGUGCUGGGAAAGCCAGGGAACGGGAACAUUCAGAGCCUGGUUUCCUGACUUCUAAAAAGGGGCAGAAUUCUCCCAUGAAAAACAAAUCAGGUAGCGUAUAUGAUGUCUGACCCCCACAUCUAACACAUCACAGUCAAUAUUAUCUUUUCUUUACAAAGAACUGGCAUUUGUUUCACCCAGUAGUGGAAGACAGUCCUAAUGAACAGUGUGUCUGAAGGAGUGACUAGGAAGAUACAGACCUCUGGGUAAAGCUGAGCUUUCACAAUCACAAGAGUCUCGAAAUGACCAAGCAGACUCCUAAGUCUGUCUGGUUCUGAGAGCUUCCCAAACACGGACACCUCCAUCUCCAACUGGAUGAGGUAGAAAAUCUCUUCAUGGGCAACUAAACUGUCAGGAAGUAUCUGUAACCCUAGUACCACUGAGGAAAGAGAUCUCAGUACCUGUUGUGAGAUGCUGUCCGGUAUCCAACCGCCAAAGCCUGUCUCAGGAUGUCAUUCACCAGCUGCUCCGUGGCCUAUGACAGAAGAUAGGAUUACCCUGCUGGUGAGGAGGGACACAUAUGACCUCAUCCCGUAUACAAAACUUUGCAAAUAAAUGUAUCUAAGGAUCAAAACUCCUUAAGGAAAAACUAAAGGUCCAAAUAAUAGACCACAAAUAUUAGGUUACAAAAAUAAAGCCCAAGAUUCUGAGAAAUUAUGAACGGGGGUGGGGAUUCAUUAAUCAGACACUGUUUUUAAGGAAAACAGGUUGGGGGGGCACCAAGGUGGCUCAAUUGGCUGGGCAUCUGCCUUUGGCUCAGGUCAUGAGCCCAGGAACCUAGGCUCAAGCCGGUCUUGGGCUCCCUGCUCAGCACUAAGUUGCUUGUCCCUCUGCCCCUCCCCCAGUCUGCUUGUACUCUCUCUUAAAUACAUAAAAGCUUUAAAAAAAAUCUGGGUUAUUUCUAUUUUUUAAAAAAAUGAAAACCAGUGAGGGUUAUUUGUGAGUUAUCCCUGCUGGGAGAGGGGUCUGACCAGAAAAGUAGCCACAGGGCUACAUCAGGAUGGGUAAGGAAGCUGGUUUGUCAUCCUCUUGCCCAGGGUUGGGACAAUUGUGGCUGUUUCUCUGUUGUUGUGACAUGUGGGGAAAACCCAAGGCUUUGCUUCUGUCACGUCCUAAAGCAGCAAGAACACUCAUCUCAGAUUGCUUCAGAAGGCACUAAAAAGUAUCAUUCGAGUGAUGUCAGCAAAGAAACUUGUAGAUGCUUUCACACUCAGAAGACCCACUAUAUAGUUCUUUUAAAAAUCAGAAAACAGGGGCACCUGGGUGGCUCAGUGGGUUAAGCCUCUGCCUUCAGCUCAGGUCAUGAUCUCAGGGUUCUGGGAUCAAGCCCUGCAUCGGGCUCUCUGCUCAGCAGGGAGCCUGCUCCCUCCCUCUCUGCCUGCCUCUCUGCCUACUCUGAUCUCUGUCUGUCAAAUAAAUUAAAAAAAUUAAAAAAAAAAAAUCAGAAAACAUGAAGCCCGAUUAAGAUGAAAAAUCCUAAAACUUACGAUCUCUGUUCCAUUUCUGCCCCAUCCCUUACUCAGAACAGCCCCGGACCCAGGCUAUCCUGCCCACUGGCACCUCAGUGCCCCAGCCCCGGGCGGCAGCUGCUCACAGCCCUGCUGCAGCCGGCACCCACCUUUAAAAUCAUGUCCUCCACCACUGAUGCGUACACGUUCUUGUGAAGCGCCACAGGCUGCAGGGUGAUCCCGAUCUGGAAAAGCGGAAAAGCCGUUUGUUCCUAUCUCCACACUGAAAACCACCUCUCUCCAAACAAGCACACUUCUCAGAUAUCCAAAGAGCUGGCUGGCUGAAAGAGUAACUCUACGAGCACUCUGGACAAAACUCCGCAGGAGUAACACAAAAUGUAACACCUGGGAGAAUAUAUGGUCCUCUCUGUUUCUGAGUGGUUGUUAAACAUGCUAUUAGAGUCCUCCUUUUACCUCCAAAUGAAGAACAUGGCCAGGAUUUGCCAGGAAUCCUGAUAGUGGAAUCAACCCACUGGGAAGCUUAGAAUCAGACUUCAGGGGCUGUUUGCAAAAGGUGAUGAAGAGACAGCUGGCACCUGUGCUCACCCCAUCUUGGAUUUUCUUGUCUAAAUGAAACAAACACCGCCUCCACUCGGGGUCCCAAGCAGCUGUACUGGGUACAAGUGGGCAGAGGCUGCCGCACUGCUGAGCUCUGCUAGAGGCCAACAGGGGAUUCUCUCCUGUGCCACAGGGUACCAUGUGCGCCCACCCAUAACACAGGCAGGGCCCCUAGGAGCUUGAAAAAUGUCAGAGAAGGCUUGGCCUCUCAAGUAUUAGGACAUGUGCCUCAGGAAGGAGCGGCGCUUCCACAGAGGCAAAUACCAAAGACAAAAGUAAAAAACUAACUAUCCCGGGCACCUGGGUGGCUCAGUGGGGUAAAGCUUCUGCCUUCAGCUCAGGUCCUUUUUUUUUUUUUUUUUUUAAAGAUUUUGUUUUUCUUAUUUAUUUGACAGUGAGAGAGAUCACAAGCACGCAGAGAGGCAGGCAAAGAAAGAGAGGGGGAAGGAGGCUUCCUGUGGAGCAGAGAGCCUGAUGUGGGGCUCGAUCCCAGGACCCUGGGAUCAUGACCUGAGCCGAAAGCAGAGGCUUCAACCCACCGAGCCACCCAGGCACCCCUAGCUCAGGUCCUAAUCCCAGGGUCCUGGGAUCGAGCCCCACAUCAGGCUCUCUGCUCGGUGGGGAGCCUGCUUCCCCUUCUCUCUCUGCCUACUAGUGAUCUCUGUCAAAUAAAUGAAUAAAAUCUUAAAAAAAAAAAAAAAAGGAAAAAAAGAAAAACUAUCUAUCCCUAGCUGCCUCUACUUCAAUUCCAUGGCCAGUAAGCAACCUCUUCACGUGGAGUUCGUUUUCUUGCCCUGAUGCGUGGCGGGGGGGUGGGGGAUGCCCAGAGAGCACACCCCAAGUUCACCAGGCAGAAGAAAUUCACACCUUUACUUCACCAGGCAAGUCUGGCAUCCACGUACAAGACUGAAGGUCUGGCUCGUGACCAAGAAAUAGCAGAGGCCACAACCCCUACCUUCUGGGUGAUGUCACCAAUAAAUUCCGACCCCAGUGUUGGUGGUAGGUAGAACUUCAUUUCUUCCUGCUUCUCUUCCUGUUCUUUUUUGAUGCUGAUCUUUACCGGCUCCGGGAGGCUGAGGAUGUCCACCUCCUCUUCAUUCUCUGGCUCUCUUUUCUGAAACUGCUGCAGGUCCUCCAGUUUCCGGCAGAGGUCGUCGGCAGAGGAGAAGGACGACGGGCACUCUAAAUGAGAGGGGGUCAGUCUUAGGACCGCUGUGCUGGCCACAGGAAGGACCUACCAUCUCUGUAAGACCAACAGUGCGAGCGAGACCCAGAGAAGAAGGGUCAGUAUCAAGGGAGCUGACCUUCUUUCCAGUUCUUGAAUAUUGUGGAUCUGUAACUGUGAGAACUAGGAAUUUAUGAGACAGACAAGCACAGAGACAGGUGACUCAUGUUACCUAUAUAGGUGAUGCGACUGCAAUCUAAGACAAAACAGUAUGUAAUUUGGACUCACACCACCAAAAUCUAGGCCAUGCCCUGAAGCCCCAGAUACUAACGACUAACCCAUUUUCAUAUCGUUUAAGUCUGGAAAAUCUUAAAGUACACAGCGAGGAAAAUAAGUAUCACCCAGCUGAGCGCCUCUCACUGCUCAGAGGCUAGUACGUUAACACAGAGUACACACUGAGCGUCGUCUUUAAGACGUUGAUGUACACAAUGUCUAACAGAGAGAACAAAGCCGGAGGGGACCUCAGAACCUUCCAGCGCAUCCUCUCACCUUAGGGAUGAGGAAGUGAGGUCCACACCAGGUACAAGAUGGGCUUAGGAUACCCAGGCAGGCUGGUGGUGAUGGGGCAUCCAGCUUCUAGCUUCUUCUGUUUCACUGACUGGCGCUUACAAAUUCACCAGUCACUGUAACAGAACGCCUGUGUGUGUGACGUGCUGUGCUUCCCAUCUGCUGCCAGUGAAGCACGGAGAUGACCAACAUGCUUUCUGUCCUCCGAAGAACUUACAUACUUAUUUCUGACAAACCAGUAAGGUUCUGGAAUUAGUGUUGCUGGAUUUCAGAGAAAGAAGAGGUCAUCCUGCAUUAGGGCUCUCAGGAAAGCUUCAUGGAGGAAAUGGAACUUGUGCUAAGUCUUAAGAACACCCGCCUCCUUCACACACACACUCCCUGUGCUCCAGGCUCUCUCAAACUGGGAGGUGGAGCUCCUGCUUUUCUAGAAAGUAUGGUUGGGAGGAGAAAACAACCCUUCUCAUUCUUUAAGGUGAAACUCAAAAAUAUUCUCCCCACGUAUCCUUUAUGCCCUGCUCCCACCCCCACAGAGCACAACUGUUUGUUUACCAUAAAACAAUUCAUCUCAUCUGCAGUACUAAUUAGUGGUUUCCAUCUGUGUCUCCAGCACUGGGUAUGUCCCAGCGAGGUCUGGAGAUAAAGUAACACAUAAGACAGCGCCUACAUCUUCGAGGAGAUAGGGUAGACCUGUCUAUGGGGGUCAAAAGGUCACAAAGGAAGGAGAAGUCAGUUCCAUCUGGAGGAAAGGAAGGGGAUCAGCAAAGUCUUCAAAGAAGAAAUGAUGCUAAGGAGGGGGACCCUGGAACAAACAGUAUGUGUCUGUCAUAUGCCACGGGCUGGAAUAUUCCUGGCUGAGGCCCAAUGCUGGGGACACUCAGGCACAAAUAGUUCUGUAGGGGCUGUACUGGGACCAGAGGGAGACAGAACACACAGCUAGAGGUGAGCCAAGGCCCCUGUUCUUCAAGUCCUCCAGGGCUGAAGCGGCGCAGCCCAAGAACCUUGGAAGCAGAAGAGUUGAGCGCCUGUUCCAUGAAACCACCUCUCAGGCUACUGACAGACCCAGGGAGCCCCACUGAAGGCAUACCUGGCUCGCUGUCGAUCUGGGUCAGCACGUCCUCAAUAGAGUCGCCGUCGCUCCUCAAGGUCUCGGGAUCGGGUGGAGUGUAGCCAUGACAGCGACACCAGUGAGCAAUGUGCUUGGUUUUAAGGGGAGUCAGGUGGUGAAAUCUUGGAUUCUUCUCCAGGAUUUCUUGUAAGACUUUUCGCAUGGUCAUUGCUCUUUGCCACUUAAAAACAAAUUUUUUUUUUAAUCAUGAUCAAUUUUAAACUUCACAGUGUGUUCAAAUAAAUCACUCAACUGUAAAUGACCCUGCUAA